AUGCAGCUGGUGUCCGGGCUGCUGGGAUGCGCCAAUGCAAAUUUCCUUUGUCGCUAUGUCGGGCUACCACUGUCCAUUCGGAAGCAGACAGCUGUGCAUUUUCAAGACCUGGUAGACCAAAUUGCAGCGCGCCUGCCAUCAUGGAAGGCGGCUUCCCUACCGAAGAGCAGCCGGGUGCUACUGAUCCAGUCGGUCCUUUGUGCAAUCCCGGUGCACUCGAUGAUAGCCAUGGGUCUGCCUCCGAAAACGAUCAAGGCGAUCAUCAAGAUUUGCAGAAUUUUCUCGUGGUUUGGAAAGGAGGAAGCAAGAGGAGGUAAAUGCGUUGCUUGGGAGACUCUCUGUCGACCAAAGUGGGCAGGUGGCCUUGGUGUCCCCAACCUAAGGUGGAUGAAUGUGGCUUUGCAACCUAAAUGGCUAUGGUUGCAGCGGACAGACCCGUCUAGACCAUGGGUGUGACGCCCCCGAUUCAUCAUUGAUGAGGCAAAAGGCUUGUUUCAGGCAGCGACUAGACUGACCCUUGGCGAUGGUCGCCUUGCUUUGUUCUGGGAGGAUAGAUGGUUAAAUGGUUACCAAAUACAAGAGCUGGCUCCAGCGGUAUAUGAAAACGUGCCAAAGAAAGUUCAAAGCUCCAGAACCGUGGCUAAAGCUCUACAGGAUGCAAUGUGGGCCCAUGACAUUGGACCAAACUUGGACGAGACCAGCCUUCGACAGUUUCUGGAGACCUUGUCGAGGGUGGCCAAUAUAACACUAAACACUUAG
rnacentral:rRNA from 1 species